GUACUGUUAAUGAGUCCCAAACUAGGACGAAACGGCUGUCCAGUAC
rnacentral:hammerhead_ribozyme from 1 species